rnacentral:rRNA from 1 species
GGGGAAUUUUCCGCAAUGGGCGAAAGCCUGACGGAGCAAUACCGCGUGAGGGAUGAAGGCCUAUGGGUUGUAAACCUCUUUUUUCAGGGAGGAAUCAAUGACGUGUACUUGAAGAAUAAGCAUCGGCUAACUCCGUGCCAGCAGCCGCGGUAAGACGGAGGAUGCAAGUGUUAUCCGGAAUCACUGGGCGUAAAGCGUCUGUAGGUGGUCAAAUAAGUCAACUGUUAAAUCUUGAGGCUCAACCUCAAAAUCGCAGUCGAAACUAUUAGACUAGAGUAUAGUAGGGGUAAAGGGAAUUUCCAGUGGAGCGGUGAAAUGCGUAGAUAUUGGAAGGAACACCGAUGGCGAAGGCACUUUACUGGGCUAUUACUGACACUCAGAGACGAAAGCUAGGGUAGCAAAUGGGAUUAGAUACCCCAGUAGUC